UCCGGCUUGGCGCCGGCAGUCUCCCUAGAGUCCCCACCAUUACGUGCUGGCAACUAAGGACGGGGGUUGCGCUCGUUGCGGGACUUAACCCAACACCUCACGGCACGAGCUGACGACAGCCAUGCACCACCUGUCAGGGGCCCUUACGGACACUGCAUCUCUGCAGCUUUUCCCCUGAUGUCAAACCCAGGUAAGGUGGGGAUGACGUAGGGAAUGUCGAUA
rnacentral:misc_RNA from 1 species